rnacentral:misc_RNA from 1 species
GAUGAAGAACGCAGCGAAAUGCGAUAAGUAAUGUGAAUUGCAGAAUUCAGUGAAUCAUCGAAUCUUUGAACGCACCUUGCACCCUUUGGCUAUUCCGAAGGGUAUGCCUGUUUGAGUAUCAUGAACACCUCAACUCUCAUGGUUUGCCAUGAUGAGCUUGGACUUUGGGGGUCUUGCUGGCCUGUGGUCAGCUCCUCUCAAAUGGAUUAGCUUGCCAGUGUUUGGUGGCAUCACAGGUGUGAUAACUAUCUACGCUUGUGGUUUUCCACCAGGUAACCUUCAGCAAUGGGGGUUCGCUGGGGCUCAUAAAUGUCUCUCCUCAGCGAGGACAGCUCUUUGAACGUUUGAUCUCAAAUCAGGUAGGACUACCCGCUGAACUUAAGCAUAUCAAUAAGCGGAGGA